UACAGGGGGUGCAAACGUUGCUCGGAAUCAUUGGGCGUAAAGCGCACGUAGGCGGUCUGUUAUGUCGGAUGUGAAAGCCCUCGGCUCAACUGAGGAAGUGCAUCCGAAACUGGCAAGCUAGAGUAUGUAAGAGGGUCGCGGAAUUCCCGGUGUAGAGGUGAAAUUCGUAGAUAUCGGGAGGAACACCGGUGGCGAAGGCGGCGACCUGGGACAAUACCGACGCUGAGGUGCGAAAGCGUGGGGAGCAAACAGG
rnacentral:rRNA from 1 species